AAAUAUUUAUACUAACAACCACUAUUCAAAAUUCAAGCCUUGGCAACACUGGACCGCUGUACUCUCACUCUCUCUCUCUCUCUCUCUCUCAGUGGCCACCCGUUCCAAAACCAGCCGGCGUCAUUUUCUCAUCACUGGGCUUGUGUGUGGGCUUAAUGCCAGCCCACACACGCCCACCCACGCCCUCUCCUUCACGCCCACGCCCACAGGAGGCUUUUAACACGCCCACAUGUCUUAAAAUGGCUUCUCUCACCUUAUGGCUAAUUUUGUCUUCGGAAAUUCAUGCACGUGGUCGGUUUUUAUUAAGAUGCUGAGAUGAUGUGCGGUGUGUGGCGGUGACCAGCAAUGUGACCCCCAGCGGCCUUGUUGGGUGAAGGGACCUACUAUGGGACCACCGACACUGCUACCUUGGUCUUCUUUGUGGCAUCUGUGACUGCUGUGGUGUGUGUGUGUUGGUUUGAGUGGGGCUCCCAGUGACCUAUCUCCAUGUCUACAUUUAUCCACCUUUUCCUUCAAUUUGUGCACACUUUCUGCUGCUACAAUCUCCUCACUCAGUCCAUUCCAGAUGUCCACCGUCCUGUGUGGAAAACUGAACCACUUAAUGUUCCUCAGAUAAUGACGUUUUAUGAUCUUGGAAUGUCCUCUUGUUUGUUGUGUGUGUGUGUGUGUGUGUGAGAGAGAGAGAGAGAGAGGGAAGAUUUUGUUGUGUUUUCUUGAGGCACAACAAAAAACUACUGAAAUACUGUUAGUUUAUAUUUGUGUUUCUUUGAAGGAGAGACAAAAAACACACCUGGUUCAUGUUUAUUAGUGUUUCUUUAAGAGAGAGACAAUAGAAACAAUUAGUUCAUGUUUAUUUGUGUUUUCUGAGAGAGAGAGAGAACACACUAUUAAAUCACGUUCACCUGUUACUUUGAGGACACACAUACAUUCACUAGUUGAUCUUAUUUUGUUAGGGUCACUGGCCAAACAAGAUAAAAAGAUAAAAAACUAAGAUUAAAAUUGAAUUAAUUGUUGGAUACAUGUCUUCAAAUCUCCAUCAUCAAAGAAUUUCAUGUGAUAGGAAUUUGUGAAGUGUCUGUUAGGAGAAAUCUGGCCAGGGGCAACACAAACCAUUCAACAAAAAUGCCCACUGAGAUGCCAGUUCCCAAGCAGGUUUGUGGGAGUAUUUGGGGUGUUUACCUGCAAGUGUUCCCUGGCAGACACAGCAUCAGGCCAGUGUGUGGUGGUGGAGUGUCAUUAUGUGUGUCAAGGAGUGGGUGGCCUUCACAGAACCACACUGACUGUUGGUGGCAGAGGAGGCUGUGAGGGGAAUGUGUGGUGGGAGGGGAGCCAUGAGAGGUGGUGCAGCAGCCUUGUGUUUGCCUGUGCUGGGGUGAGGGACGGUGUUCGGGGUGUUGGACAAGGGGUUACCCUGAGAGUGACCUGACUGUUGUGCGUCAAGGUCACGUUUCAGGGUAAAUCUUUUGUCACACUCCUGUCACUCAAAGUCUCUUACACCAGCGCGGGUGAGCAUGAGGAUGUUGACAGUACCUUGUGGGCUGGUCUCUUCCCACACUCUAGACACUCACAGCCUCCCUGCCAGCACGGUGAGUGUGCAUGUGUCCGUGCAGGCCGCCAGACACCUGGGCCCUGUGCUGCACCCCUCACUGCACAGCCCCCAGUGUGGGUCAGGAUGUGUGUGCUAAAAGCAGAUUUUGGAGUGGCCUUUUUAGGGGAAAAGGUAUGGACCAAAAGGUGGUCUUGCCACACACAGGCUGGCCCGGGCUGGUGUGGCGGCGGUGGUGCAGCGGUGUGGUGGCGCGGCGCAGUGUGGCGGGUGUGUUGUGGUGACAGAUGCAGCCUCACUCCUGUUGGCGGCGAGCCUCUGGUGUCUAGAGUGUGGGAUGUGAUCAGCCCACAAGGUACUGCCAAUAAGCUCAUGCUCACCCGCACUGGUGUAAGAGACUUUGAGUGUCUGGAGUGUGGCAAAAGAUUUACCCGGAAGGGUGCUCUUCGCCACGCCCUGCUACUCCCGGCCUGAUGCAUCACGGCAGGGUGUGUGCCGCGUGUGGCUUGGCACUGCACCGCCUGGCUGGUGCACUGCCUGGUGAUUGGGCAGUUAGUGGUGAGUCAAUAGAGAGCUUUGCAAUAUCAGACAAAAUUAUGGAUAACAGGUUCCAAUAGGCAUGAUUUAUUCAGGUAGUGCCACCUGCACCUGUGGGACUGAUGGCUUCCUGCACCAGCCAUUGUACCAUUGUGUUCUUGUUCCUCUAGAGACCGUACCCUCAGCAGCUGUCUCUGCAAAACUGGGUCAUCACUAUUCACUUCACUAUUGUGGCAUGUACUGAACUGAACACUUAAGAGUCUGAGAUCCUCCAUCCUGUAUUACCUCACCUUCACUCUGGGCAGUGUGUGCCAUAGCCAAGAUCACCAAUAAAAUGAUUGUAAAUGUA